rnacentral:rRNA from 1 species
GACGAACGCUGGCGGCGUGCCUAAUACAUGCAAGUAGGACGCUGAAGGAGGAGCUUGCUUCUCUGGAUGAGUUGCGAACGGGUGAGUAACGCGUAGGUAACCUGCCUGGUAGCGGGGGAUAACUAUUGGAAACGAUAGCUAAUACCGCAUAAUAGUAGAUGUUGCAUGACAUUUGCUUAAAAGGUGCAAUUGCAUCACUACCAGAUGGACCUGCGUUGUAUUAGCUAGUUGGUGGGGUAACGGCUCACCAAGGCGACGAUACAUAGCCGACCUGAGAGGGUGAUCGGCCACACUGGGACUGAGACACGGCCCAGACUCCUACGGGAGGCAGCAGUAGGGAAUCUUCGGCAAUGGACGGAAGUCUGACCGAGCAACGCCGCGUGAGUGAAGAAGGUUUUCGGAUCGUAAAGCUCUGUUGUAAGAGAAGAACGAGUGUGAGAGUGGAAAGUUCACACUGUGACGGUAUCUUACCAGAAGGGGACGGCUAACUACGUG